GAAAGAAAUGAUGAAGAAGUAUCAUCAUGUCCCAAACUCAGUCUCUGCCUUGAGGGAAAACAAAGCUAACACAGGAACAGCCAGUCUUUAACCAAAGGAUUAAUAUCUAAAAUGUCUAAAAACCUCCUACCAACUAGUAAGAAAAGGAAACAAAUAAUACAACAGAAAAGCAGGCCAAAUAUACUGUGGUAGAGACCGCUCUCUUUUUUCCUUAGUAAUAAGAACUCAAAGUUUUGGUUGGGCACAAUGCUGCCCAGCUAGAAGAUGAUACUUACCUGGUCAACAGGCCAUGCCUGUGGAGCAAAGCAGAGCAUGGCAGAGUUAAGAGGAGCUAUGCUGGAUUCUCUCAGGGCUGUAAGGCAUUUUUUUAGCCAGUUUUCUGUUGAUGGACAUAUACAUUGUUUCCAAUCUCACACAGCAAAUUAUUUAGAAAUGCUUUUUUUUAAAAAUAAAUUUAUUUAAUUUAUUUUUGGCUGUGUUGGGUC